rnacentral:piRNA from 1 species
UAUAAGAUAGUGGAGGAGAUGGUAAAGAGG